UACGGAGGGUGCGAGCGUUAUUCGGAAUUAUUGGGCGUAAAGGGCGCGCAGGCGGUUUUCUAAGUCGGAUGUGAAAGCCCGGGGCUUAACCCCGGAAGCGCAUUUGAUACUGGAAGGCUUGAGUAUGGGAGAGGGAAGCGGAAUUCCUGGUGUAGCGGUGAAAUGCGUAGAUAUCAGGAGGAACACCGGCGGCGAAGGCGGCUUCCUGGACCAAUACUGACGCUGAGGCGCGAAGGCGCGGGGAGCAAACAGG
rnacentral:rRNA from 1 species